UUAGUGGCAGACGGGUGAGUAAUAUAUAGGAAUCUACCUAGUAGUACGGAAUAAUUGUUGGAAACAGCAACUAACACCGUAUACGCCCUACGGGGGGAAAAUUUAUUGCUAUUAGAUGAGCCUAUAUUAGAUUAGCUAGUUGGUGGAGUAAUAGCCUACCAAGGCGAUGAUCUAUAGCUGAUCUGAGAGGAUGAUCAGCCACACUGGAACUGAGAUACGGUCCAGCCUCCUACGGGAGGCAGCAGUGGGGAAUAUUGGACAAUGGGCGAAAGCCUGAUCCAGCUAUGCCGCAUGAGUGAAGAAGGCUUUUGGGUUGUAAAGCUCUUUUAGUGAGGAAGAUAAUGACGGUACUCACAGAAGAAGUCCUGGCUAACUCCGUGCCAGCAGCCGCGGUAAUACGGAGAGGGCUAGCGUUAUUCAGAAUUAUUGGGCGUAAAGGGCGCAUAGGCUGGUUAAUAAGUUAAAAGUGAAAUCCCGAGGCUUACCCUUGGAAUUGCUUUUAAAACUGUUAAUCUAGAGAUUGAAAGAGGAUAGAGGAAUUCCUAGUGUAGAGGUAAAAUUCGUAAAUAUUAGGAGGAACACCAGUGGCGAAGGCGUCUAUCUGGUUCAAAUCUGACGCUAAGGCGCGAAGGCGUGGGGAGCAAACAGGAUUAGAUACCCUGGUAGUCCACGCUGUAAACGAUGAAUGUUAAAUAUAGGAAGUUUUACUUUCUGUAUUACAGCUAACGCGUUAAACAUUCCGCCUGGGGACUACGGUCGCAAGAUUAAAACUCAAAGGAAUUGACGGGGACCCGCACAAGCGGUGGAGCAUGUGGUUUAAUUCGAUGCAACGCGAAAAACCUUACCACUCCUUGACAUGGAAAUCAUACCUAUUCGAAGGGAUAGGGUC
rnacentral:rRNA from 1 species